CGACCUCAGAUGAGGUGAUACUCCCCGCUGAAUUU
rnacentral:rRNA from 1 species